rnacentral:rRNA from 1 species
GAUGAACGCUGGCGGCGUGCCUAAUACAUGCAAGUCGAGCGAACAGACGAGGAGCUUGCUCCUCUGACGUUAGCGGCGGACGGGUGAGUAACACGUGGAUAACCUACCUAUAAGACUGGGAUAACUUCGGGAAACCGGAGCUAAUACCGGAUAAUAUAUUGAACCGCAUGGUUCAAUAGUGAAAGACGGUUUUGCUGUCACUUAUAGAUGGAUCCGCGCCGCAUUAGCUAGUUGGUAAGGUAACGGCUUACCAAGGCAACGAUGCGUGGCCGACCUGAGAGGGUGAUCGGCCACACUGGAACUGGAACACGGUCCAGGCUCCUACGGGAGGCAGCAGUAGGGAAUCUUACGCAAUAGGCGGAAGCCUGACGGAACAACGGCGCGUGAGUGAUGGAAGUCUUCGGAUCGUAAAACUCUGUUAUUAGGGAAGAACCAAUGUGUAAGUAACUAUGCACGUCUUGACGGUACCUAAUCAGAAAGCCACGGCUAACUACGUG